CAGGAUGCUGUAUCGGGCCAUUCAGCGGUAUGACGCUGAAAACUCAGGAUGAUGAAAUACGGGAUGGAGUGUGGAGCGGGACCUGGAAGUAGAGGAGUUGCAGAGGUGAUUGUGAGGCGAAGAGGCAGCGCAUGGAACAGGUGAGAGGCUUGGCAGGCAGGCAGACGUGAUUGGGAUCCAAAACAGUUCCAAGGCUCUGUUGGUCUGUUCGCGGCUCACCUGUGUAACUCCAAUGGAACGUACCACUUUGAGAGAUUGGGGUGGGCACAAUGGAAAACUGGUGAAGAGGCCUCUUUACACAGCAUAGAUUCAAUGUUUUCUUGAGCAAAUACGUUAGUUUUGUAUUUCUUACAGGCUAUCUAAACAUGCUUUAAAGUUUUUGCUGUCAAGAUGACUUUUUUAUGAAGCACAUUUUCUGGUGCUCCGCUGAUAACUUGAUGCCCUACUCCUGCGUAUGCUGGACACCGGCGCUGACAGACCUGAUACUGAUAAUAAUUUUAUGCUGAUGUGUUAAAAGAUUAAGUAUUUAUUUAUUUGUAAAAACAAAAAUCAAACACCUUCACAAGAUAAUCAACAUUCCUCAUUUUAAGAGUGGUAGCUCUGUUUUUUCACUUAAGAGUUCCCAAUGAUAGUAUUUUAUUCUGGUAAUAUGA